AUGGGCCUAGAGUUGUACUUUCAGGGGAAAUUAAAUUAAAUGUCCAAAAAUAAAGUUUCCAAAACAACUUUAUCCAAUUUUCUUACCAUUAUGCAAAUACACCUAAUAAUUAUGUAAUGAUGAAAUUGCCCUUCGGAAAAAGAAACGUGAAAGUUGGAAAAGGAAAAGUCAAACACACGAAAUUCGCAAACCCAGCCACACGCAUUCGGCCGUCCAUCUACCUCGACUUCCACCGGCGAUUUUCGCGACUUUUCCAGCGAUCAAAAUGGCUGAAAAGCUCCUGCUCCUAAUAGUAAUAAUGCUUCAAAGAUCCGAUUGAAUUCAAACUUCUUCAUCUCCAUUAUCUUGAGUCUCCUUUAUCUCUAUCUUUAUAAUUAACGUUACAGUACUUAUGGGUUUGCUCAAUUUUUUUUUUCUCAUGUUGUAUUGAGAAUAGGAAUGGAGUAGUGUGCUGCUAUGUUUUGAUGUAGUAAUAGCGUAUGAGAUGUUGAAUGCUAGUGUGGUGUAUUUAACUCUUCCACUUGAAGAGUUGUACCUCAAUGAUUAUAUGUAAUUCUAUUAUGGUGGGCAAUAAAAGUCUAUUCCAGCUUGAUUUGAUUUGCAGAACUUCUUAUUCUGUUCCUUGAUAUAUCAUAUAGUUUAUUAAGAUCUCUUAUUUUCUCCA